GGCUUCGACGAAUUGGAGGAUUAGGAGAGAGAUUCUCCGUUAUAAAAAACUAUAGGACAACUCACACUCUAAAAUAGACAUGACUACUCUAUUAUCAGGUAACAUCGAGGAUUAAACUAAUGAUACUCACGUCGUCUCUACAUCUAUUACCCUUCUCCCUAUUCUCGCUACCAGACACGCACCCUAGCCGCCGCCGUUCUUUCCUCUUGCUGCGCAACCCUAACCGCGGCACCCUAGGUGCCUCACUCAAAUCCCAGAGAUGGAUUGAACUGCUCCGGUCGUCGCUGUUGCAGAAGCUGUUGAUGCUACUCGUGCUGCGGUUGUUGCAGCUGCGGAGGCCAGAUGUGCGGCGUUGGUUGCUGAGAAGGAGGCACGUGCGGCUGUUGAAUCUGCCACUAUUGCAGCCGAUAAGGUUCAACUUGUCGUCUCUGCUGUGAAGUAUAGAAGAUUUGUUGAAGAUGACUCCAUGGUGGAAUCAUUGGAACAUGUUGAUUUGAAGUAUCACGUUAGCAUCAAGAACUUACUCCGAUAUGUCAUUCAAGAGAUGAGGAGGCAAUCUUCACUUUUACAUACCAUUAAUAGGCUGUGUUGUAGCAUCCCAGGAGUUGAAGGGGGUAAGGUUGUAAAACUUGCUGGCCAUUUGAAGGAAGUGUGAAAGAGUCUCGAGAAGACUUCAAAUGUGUGUGAAGAAGAUCUGGACAACAAAUGUCCUGGUUGGGACCUUGAUCAUCCCCUUCAGAUGUUGAAGACCACUCUAACCCUUCUCAUGUUGAGGACCAAGUGGAUGGAUAUGUGUCAGAAGAUCCGGAGCUGUGGGAAAUGGUUUUUUAAGACAUGAAGUGGGAGGAGAACAAAGUGGUUGUCUCUUUGUUCGAGCAUUGUCGUAUUAUGGGCUACGACUACGACCAGAUUUAUGAUCGUACUGUUUAAGUUGCCAAGACUACUAGUAUGUUUCUUCUGUGGUUCUAUCUUUUGUGGUCAUGAGAUGAACUUGUAACCAGUUUGUGUCAUGAGAUGAACUUCUAACCAGAUAUGAAGACUUUUGUGAUGUCAAGACUAUGUACUUGUAACAUCUCUCUGUGAUGUGGUUGUGUUUAUGUAAGACUAUCUAUGUAUUCAAGACUAUCUAUGUAGUUAGUUGUUUUCAGUUAAUGUAUCAAUGUGUUCAGUUAAUGUAUCAGUGCGUUAUGGUAA